ACGCUCGACACCUACUGGAGGCAGCAGUGGGGAAUAUUGCACAAUGGGGGAAACCCUGAUGCAGCAACGCCGCGUGAAGGAAGACGGUUUUCGGAUUGUAAACUUCUGUUCUUAGUGAAGAUAGUGACGGUAGCUAAGGAGCAAGCCACGGCUAACUACGUGCCUAGCAGCCGCGGUAAUCUGAGGCGGGCUGGCAAGGC
rnacentral:rRNA from 1 species